CCUACGGGGGGCAGCAGUGAGGAAUAUUGGUCAAUGGGCGCGAGCCUGAACCAGCCAAGUAGCGUGAAGGAUGACUGCUCUACGGGUUGUAAACUUCUUUUAUAAAGGAAUAAAGUGAGGCCCGUGUGCCUUUUUGUAUGUACUUUAUGACUAAGGAUCGGCUAACUCCGUGCCAGCAGCCGCGGUAAUACGGAGGAUACGAGCGUUAUCCGGAUUUCUUGGGUUUAAAGGGAGCGUAGAUGGGUUGUUAAGUCAGUUGUGAAAGUUUGGGGCUCAACCGUAAAAUUGCAAUGGAUACUGGCAGUCUUGAGUACAGGUGAGGUAGGCGGAAUUCGUGGUGUAGCGGUGAAAUGCUUAGAUAGCACGAAGAACUCCGAUUGCGAAGGCAGCUUACUAAACUGCCACUGACAUUGAUGCUCGAAAGUGUGGGUAUCAAACAGGAUUAGAUACCCCUGUAGUC
rnacentral:rRNA from 1 species